ensembl:lncRNA
GGGUAGCACAUCAAAAUAAAUGAGCUAUCAAAAACAAUAGGCUGUGUGGCUUAAAAGCACCAGUGCAUAAAUAAUAUUGCACAGAUUCAACUUUAGUUGCUGUUAUAAAUUCACUCUAGCAAUACACUUUUAAAUAAUUCACAUGCUUCUAAAUGUAGUCCUUUCCAUAUUCUCUGGAACCUUUUGCACAUUAAUAUUUUAUUUACCUUCUUUAUUUACUAACAUACAUUGUUUUGUGUUCAAAAUAUUGAUCUGCCCACAGGGGGUUACUUCAUAGAAAGCUGUCUUCCAUGCCCAGCAGGGCAUCAUUGUGCCAGCGAGGGCCUGGAUGCUCCAACUGGACACUGUGCUGCAGGUUUUUACUGCCCCAUAGACUUCUCCUCCACCACCCCGCAUGCCUUCCUCUGCCCCAAAGUUGGUUUGGCCUCCUUCAUACCCUUCUAUCUCUUUUUAAUCUGAGCAUACUGCCUGACUUAUAGGUUUUGCUCUUUCAGGGUCAUUACUGUCCCUUAGGCUCACCCCUGGCCUUGCCCUGCCCCACAGGACAGAACCAUCCAAAUCCGGGCUUGGAUAACUGCAUCCCCUGUCGUCCAGGCUAUUACUGUGAGGAGGCAAUUAUCGGAGACCCCCAGCCUUGCCCCCCACACUCCUACCCCCCUGCAGGUAACCCUGCUGCUGUAACUCUCUAUAUUAUAUCUGUGGUAUCAUUAGUACUUGCACAUAAUCUGAUUUUGCUUGUAAUUGCAGCCACAAUGGUUCCUCAGCCCUGUCACAAUGGCACAUAUACCCCACCUGAGGUCGGGGGUCUGCUAGAGGAGAGAGAGUGUUUGCCGUGUCCACCAGGAAAGUUCUGCAAGGCUGGCCAGGUGAAAGGCCUGUGUGCUGCUUGAUUCCUGUGCAUCUCUGGCAUUUCAGAGUACAGCCCCCAGGAUGCUUCUCUGCUCAACAGAGACCAGUGUGAGUGGGGAGCACAGUGUGCUGGGCCGUGUCCUGCUGGUACAUUAU